CCUACCCAUGGAGAGGCUGCACAAGCUUCAGCCCGUCCACCGCGCAUCCGAUGGUCGUGAGAAACGUCGAUGGCAGCCGAUCUGGUGUGCAAAACCGACAGUUUCGCGAUCUCCAGGCGUAGAUCACCUCAAGACGAGUAAUGUAUUCAUGGAGCAGCAGCCAGGGGGUAGUGCUCCACCAUGCAGGACAGCUGAUAUCUUUGACCCGGGCAAGCUCCAUCAAAGGACGUGUAAACUAAUGGCAGGAGGUGGGUGGUGACAUUGUAAGUUGAGCAGCAUUGAUCUGCAGCGUGGAUCAUCUUGCGAUGUGCAUUGUGAGACUAAUUAACACUUGUUUUUAUGUGGAGAAAAAAGUCGCAAGAUCAGAGCAACUAUUUUUCCUUAGCAGAGCAACAGUUGAAUGGAAUACGUGUGUCGCAGAGAGAAAUGAUCAUCGUGGGUGCAAUGAACACCAGCUGAUGGAUCAAUAAUUCUGAAAAUGAUUGUGAACUCACGGCUGAUGGUCUGCACGUCGACGCUGCUAGUGCUUUGCCUGACUCCAUGGACAUACAUCACAACAACGGUUCCUUGUGAUGGCGGUUCAUCUUUAUUUUUGUCGCCCUUUUCGUCAAUAAAAUCACAUUGAAAAUGGUUGAUUCUGAUGACUAAUUCUGAAAAUGCAGACUGAUGCUCUGCUCGUGCGAAACGUGGCAGCAACGAAGGUUCCUGUGACUGAGGAUCCAGGCUCACUGUCAUCUGCUCAUGCGUUGACUUCCUUGCCUGCCAACCCAGUGGACAGAGGGGUAUUUUGAAUUCAAGAGAAUGGAGCCGUUAGGCGACUCGCGAGGCGACAGACCCUGCUGCC